UUCGGACGCAGCGAAUAAUCUAAUCGCACCAGCAGAAGAGCGCCGAUCGUCUCGCUCACGGUCCCGAUUUGUGUACUGUACCCUCAGUGAUGCAGCACAGACUGCGCCCCCCACCCCAAAAUAAAAUGCCCGGCACGAAACGUAGUAGCAACUACCCGCCUCACCGCUCUAGUUAGAGACCACAACGAAGCAGCAGCAAACAGGCGGCCAUGCGAGCAAGCAAACCUGUCAGAAUAAACGUUCAAUUUGCGCGGCCGCCCCAUGCCCAAUGAAAAGCGACCGGAAGUGACGGCCGACGCUGUACCAUCACUUCGGCGCGCGGCAGGACGGGAAGGCGGAAGCUGCGCCAUCAUGCUCGUUUUCGCGUGCGUUCGCGUCGCGCGCUGUGCGAAGUAAUUUUAAACGUGUGAUUAGUUUUGCGCGCGGGGUAGAAAAAGAUGUGGCCCAUGCUUUGUGUAUUACUCGUGCCCCACUUCAAAGCAAAGCGUUCGUACGCACUGGAAGAUGGAUCCACGAAGGCUGAAACGAGAAGUUGCAACGUGCCCGGUCGGUAGUACUGGCAUGAUGGAAACUUUCAGGCAAUGUUCCCGCCUGAAAGCCGAGUUUGGUUUCAAGCCACCCUGGACAACUGCUGUAUGAGGCGCCGUUCCUCGGGAGGACCAGUGGGAAGGCGCCAAGUCAUGCAGAUGGUAGCAGCAAUUUCACAAUGCCCAGCCUUGGCGCGCCCCAUCAAGAGCAAGCCACUUGCGUUCGCCUUCAGACAGAUGGUUAAUGUCUUCUUGAAAGCGGUUGAGAAGACAACAUUGAUGCAAGAUUCCAGCAAUGCCAUGCGCUGCAUUUAUUGGUCAAGAUGCUCAGAGAAUGGAGUCCCUGCACCUCGUGGUUAACCGUGAACAUUUCUUUUUCUUUUGGAAAGCUAAAGGCCAUUUGCUGCAUCACUUGCAUUUUUGCAGCUCAGAUGUGUACUAUAUUUUUCUCAUUUUGAAUCAAUAUUGGCUGUUCAGUAUAAAAAAUGACUUACAGCGUGAAGGACAAGGACUGCGAGAGACACACUCCACUGACUUUCAACAAUAUUUUAUUGCGUUGCCACAUCGUGUGUGUAUACACAGAGGGGUCAUGCGCAGAAAAUGAAAGCCAGUCACAAGGGGUGUUCUAACAGCAAGUCAUUGUAAAAAGAACAUGGUCACUUGAAAAAAAAAACACAAUUUCUAUCUGUUUA